CGGUGAAUACCGUUCCCGGGCUUGUACACACCGCCGUCACACCACGAAAGUCGGCAACACCCGAAGCCGGUGGCCCAACCCUUUUGGGGGGGGCCGUCGAAGGUGGGGUUGGCGAUUGGGGUG
rnacentral:rRNA from 1 species